GACGAACGCUGGCGGCGUGCCUAACACAUGCAAGUCGAACGGAACGUCCGGGUUUAUUGGCGCUGGGCGGCGUAACGCGUGGGGAGUUGCACUUAGGUUAGCAAUCCUUGACUGAAGGGGAACUUCAUACCGGUGAGGGUCUUACCACCUAAGAUCUAUCGCUUUUGGAUGGGCCCGCGUUAGAUUAGCUAGUUGGUAGGGUAAAAGCCUAUCAAGGCGACGUUCCAUAGCUGGUGUGAGAGGAGGAUCAGCAACACUUGGACUGAGACACGGCCCAGAAUCCUACGGGAGGCAGCAGUGGGGAAUAUUGGACAAUGGGCGAAAGCCUGAUCCAGCAAUGCCGCGUGAGUGAUGAAGGCCUUAGGGUUGUAAAGCUCUUUUACCCGGGAUGAUAAUGACAGUACCGGGAGAAUAAGCGCCGGCUAACUCCGUG
rnacentral:rRNA from 1 species